GCUUACGGCCAUACCGCCCGAUCUCGUCUGAUCUCGGAAGCUAAGCAAGGUCUUGCCUGGUUAGUACUUGGAUGGGAGACCGCCUGGGAAUACCAGGUGCUGUAAGCU
rnacentral:rRNA from 1 species